UCCCACGCUGUCAUCGGAGUUAUUAGGGA
rnacentral:piRNA from 1 species